GAUGAACGCUGGCGGCGUGCUUAACACAUGCAAGUCGAACGGAAAGGCCCUGCUUUUGUGGGGUGCUCGAGUGGCGAACGGGUGAGUAACACGUGAGUAACCUGCCCUUGACUUUGGGAUAACUUCAGGAAACUGGGGCUAAUACCGGAUAGGAGCUCCUGCUGCAUGGUGGGGGUUGGAAAGUUUCGGCGGUUGGGGAUGGACUCGCGGCUUAUCAGCUUGUUGGUGGGGUAGUGGCUUACCAAGGCUUUGACGGGUAGCCGGCCUGAGAGGGUGACCGACCACAUUGGGACUGAGAUACGGCCCAGACUCCUACGGGAGGCAGCAGUGGGGAAUAUUGCACAAUGGGCGGAAGCCUGAUGCAGCAACGCCGCGUGCGGGAUGACGGCCUUCGGGUUGUAAACCGCUUUCGCCUGUGACGAAGCGUGAGUGACGGUAAUGGGUAAAGAAGCACCGGCUAACUACGUG
rnacentral:rRNA from 1 species